rnacentral:rRNA from 1 species
CCUACGGGUGGCAGCAGUGAGGAAUAUUGGUCAAUGGCCGCAGGGCUGAACCAGCCAAGUCGCGUGCGGGAUGACGGUCCUAUGGAUUGUAAACCUCUUUUGUCAGGGAGCAAAGGGCGCCACGUGUGGCGCUUUGCGAGUACCUGAAGAAAAAGCAUCGGCUAACUUCGUGCCAGCAGCCGCGGUAAUACGGGGGAUGCGGGCGUUAUCCGGAUUUACUUGGUGUAAAGGGAGCGUAGGCGGCGGUGCAAGCCAGAUGUGAAAGACCGGGGCUCAAACCCGGAACUGCAGUUGGAACUGUGCUGCUAGAGUGUCGGAGAGGCAGGCGGAAUUCGUGGUGUAGCGGUGAAAUGCGUAGAUAGUAUGAAGAACCCCAGUGGCGAAGGCGGCCGGCUGGGCGAUGACUGACGUUGAGGCUCGAAAGCGUGGGGAGCAAACAGGAUUAGAUACCCGUGUAGUC